rnacentral:rRNA from 1 species
UACGGAGGGGGCUAGCGUUGUUCGGAAUUACUGGGCGUAAAGCGCACGUAGGCGGCUUUGUAAGUCAGAGGUGAAAGCCCGGAGCUUAACUCCGGAAUUGCCUUUGAGACUGCAUCGCUUGAAUCCAGGAGAGGUGAGUGGAAUUCCGAGUGUAGAGGUGAAAUUCGUAGAUAUGGGGAGGAACACCGGUGGCGAAGGCGGCCACCUGGACGGAUACUGACGCUGAGACGCGAAAGCGUGGGUAGCAAACAGG